CCUACGGGAGGCUGCAGUGAGGAAUAUUGGUCAAUGGGCGCGAGCCUGAACCAGCCAAGUAGCGUGAAGGAUGACUGCCCUACGGGUUGUAAACUUCUUUUAUAAAGGAAUAAAGUGAGCCACGUGUGCCGUUUUGUAUGUACUUUAUGAAUAAGGAUCGGCUAACUCCGUGCCAGCAGCCGCGGUAAUACGGAGGAUCCGAGCGUUAUCCGGAUUUAUUGGGUUUAAAGGGAGCGUAGAUGGGUUGUUAAGUCAGUUGUGAAAGUUUGCGGCUCAACCGUAAAAGUGCAAUUGAUACUGGCAGCCUUGAGUACGGUUGAGGUAGGCGGAAUGCGUGGUGUAGCGGUGAAAUGCUUAGAUAUCACGAAGAACUCCGAUUGCGAAGGCAGCUUACUAACCUGCCACUGACAUUGAUGCUCGAAAGUGUGGGUAUCAAACAGGAUUAGAUACCCCUGUAGUC
rnacentral:rRNA from 1 species